rnacentral:rRNA from 1 species
GACGAACGCUGGCGGCGUGCUUAACACAUGCGAGUCGAACGGAAAGGCCCUGCUUUUGUGGGGUGCUCGAGUGGCGAACGGGUGAGUAACACGUGAGUAACCUGCCCUUGACUUUGGGAUAACUUCAGGAAACUGGGGCUAAUACCGGAUAGGAGCUCCUGCUGCAUGGUGGGGGUUGGAAAGUUUCGGCGGUUGGGGAUGGACUCGCGGCUUAUCAGCUUGUUGGUGGGGUAGUGGCUUACCAAGGCUUUGACGGGUAGCCGGCCUGAGAGGGUGACCGGCCACAUUGGGACUGAGAUACGGCCCAGACUCCUACGGGAGGCAGCAGUGGGGAAUAUUGCACAAUGGGCGGAAGCCUGAUGCAGCAACGCCGCGUGCGGGAUGACGGCCUUCGGGUUGUAAACCGCUUUCGCCUGUGACGAAGCGUGAGUGACAGUAAUGGGUAAAGAAGCACCGGCUAACUACGUG